AGAACUUAGCAGAGAUGCUUUGGUGCCUUCGGGAACUCUGAGACAGGUGCUGCAUGGCUGUCGUCAGCUCGUGUUGUGAAAUGUUGGGUUAAGUCCCGCAACGAGCGCAACCCUUAUCCUUUGUUGCCAGCGGUUAGGCCGGGAACUCAAAGGAGACUGCCAGUGAUAAACUGGAGGAAGGUGGGGAUGACGUCAAGUCAUCAUGGCCCUUACGAGUAGGGCUACACACGUGCUACAAUGGCGCAUACAAAGAGAAGCGACCUCGCGAGAGCAAGCGGACCUCAUAAAGUGCGUCGUAGUCCGGAUUGGAGUCUGCAACUCGACUCCAUGAAGUCGGAAUCGCUAGUAAUCGUGGAUCAGAAUGCCACGGUGAAUACGUUCCCGGGCCUUGUACACACCGCCCGUCACACCAUGGGAGUGGGUUGCAAAAGAAGUAGGCAGCUUAACCUUCGGGAGGGCGCUUACCACUUUGUGAUUCAUGACUGGGGUGAAGUCGUAACAAGGUAGGCGUAGUGCU
rnacentral:rRNA from 1 species